rnacentral:rRNA from 1 species
UCCUAUAAUGCAAGUCGACGGUCUUUUCUAUGGAAGCUUGCUUCCACUGAGAAGAUAGUGGCGAACGGGUGAGUAACACGUGGGUAACCUGCCCAUAAGAGGGGGAUAACAUCCGGAAACGGGUGCUAAUACCGCAUAGUUUUCUUGAUCGCAUGAUCGGGAAAGGAAAGACGGCCUUUGUGCUGUCGCUUAUGGAUGGACCCGCGGCGUAUUAGUUAGUUGGUGAGGUAACGGCUCACCAAGACGAUGAUACGUAGCCGACCUGAGAGGGUGAUCGGCCACAUUGGGACUGAGACACGGCCCAAACUCCUACGGGAGGCAGCAGUAGGGAAUCUUCCGCAAUGGACGAAAGUCUGACGGAGCAACGCCGCGUGAGUGAAGAAGGUUUUCGGAUCGUAAAACUCUGUUGUCAGAGAAGAACAAGUUGGAGAGUAACUGCUCCAGCCUUGACGGUAUCUGACCAGAAAGCCACGGCUAACUACGUGCCAGCAGCCGCGGUAAUACGUAGGUGGCAAGCGUUGUCCGGAUUUAUUGGGCGUAAAGCGAGCGCAGGCGGUUCCUUAAGUCUGAUGUGAAAGCCCACGGCUCAACCGUGGAAGGUCAUUGGAAACUGGGGAACUUGAGUGCAGAAGAGGAGAGUGGAAUUCCAUGUGUAGCGGUGAAAUGCGUAGAUAUAUGGAGGAACACCAGUGGCGAAGGCGACUCUCUGGUCUGUAACUGACGCUGAGGCUCGAAAGCGUGGGGAGCAAACAGGAUUAGAUACCCUGGUAGUCCACGCCGUAAACGAUGAGUGCUAAGUGUUGGA